AACGAACGCUGGCGGCAUGCCUAACACAUGCAAGUCGAACGAGACCUUCGGGUCUAGUGGCGCACGGGUGCGUAACGCGUGGGAAUCUACCCUUGGGUUCGGAAUGACAGUUAGAAAUGACUGCUAAUACCGGAUGAUGACGUAAGUCCAAAGAUUUAUCGCCCAAGGAUGAGCCCGCGUAAGAUUAGCUUGUUGGUGGGGUAAUGGCCUACCAAGGCGACGAUCUUUAGCUGGUCUGAGAGGAUGAUCAGCCACACUGGGACUGAGACACGGCCCAGACUCCUGAGGGAGGCAGCGGUGGGGAAUAUUGGACAAUGGGCGAAAGCCUGAUCCAGCAAUGCCGCGUGAGUGAUGAAGGCCUUAGGGUUGUAAAGCUCUUUUACCAGGGAUGAUAAUGACAGUACCUGGAGAAUAAGCGCCGGCUAACUCCGUGCCAGCCGCCGCCGUAA
rnacentral:rRNA from 1 species